UACGUAGGGUGCAAGCGUUGUCCGGAAUUAUUGGGCGUAAAGAGCUCGUAGGCGGUUUGUCGCGUCGGCUGUGAAAACCCGAGGCUCAACCUCGGGCCUGCAGUCGAUACGGGCAGACUAGAGUAUGGCAGGGGAGACUGGAAUUCCUGGUGUAGCGGUGAAAUGCGCAGAUAUCAGGAGGAACAUCAGUGGCGAAGGCGGCCUUCUGGUCCAGUACUGACACUCAAGUGCGAAAGCGUGGGGAGCAAACAGG
rnacentral:rRNA from 1 species